UCUCACACCUAUUUCAUAUUACAUUGUCAUCGAUAUAAAAAUAUUUAGUACAUGAAGCCAUCAUCUGAUGGAUUUAUCAAUCUUUUUAUAUAUAAAUCUCAUUAUAAAUCCCAUGCAUUAUCCCGAGGCCUUUCGAAGAACUUUAGGGUCAGAAUUGCCAAAUAAUGACCAACUUCGUUUAACACUACGCUACAAAAGGAGGAUCAAGAACAACAGCAAUGAAUCAGAUAGAAACUAUGCCUGCACCUCAGCAGAUGGGCAUCAUAUUAUUAAGCUAUUAUCAGUACAAUACAUAUAAUGAAUUGGCUACUCCUACCACUAUAUAUUAGAUGAUGGUGCAAAAAAAUUUUCUUUGGAACCCCCUCUUCUAAGAUAUUAGAAGCACAGCUCCAAGCAGGUGCUGCAUUGGUGGGUUUACGUUAAAUUUUUGCUAUGGACUGCUCUCAAUGUUUCAAGAAGCCAUCACCAAAGGGGAUCCAUAUCCAUUUCUAUGUGCCUUUUGCCAUCUCCAUGCAGUCUGUAAGCUGUGCUGGAGAUCAGUAUGUUGUGCUGUCCAGUUCAGCUCAAGCCUAAUCUUUGUGGGAUCACUAUAAACUUCAGCAUAGUCACCAGGUCGGCGAGGUAAAUAAUCGACUUUGAUGUUCACACCGGUUGCCUUCUUACAUGCCUCCACAAAUUCCUUGACAGAACUACCUUUUCCAGUGCCAACGUUGUAGAUCCCAACUUUACCAGGCAUUGACUUUUCAAGGGCUUUCACGUGAGCAUCAACAAGAUCAGUAACAUCAAUAUAAUCUCGAAUACAAGUGCCAUCAUGUGUCUUGUAAUCUGUUCCUUUAACCUUCAAGCCAGGAACAAUACCGCGAGCUGCAUCAAAACAAGCACCAGAAAUUCUCCCAUGCUCACGCAGUUCGGGUCUGGGAGCCUCACCCAGUCUGCCAUCUGGAUCUGAACCAAUCACAUUGAAGUAUCUGGGAGUCAUUCACAAGAAAGAUGCAUCAAUAAGCAACUAAUGGAAGAGACAAUCCCUUAUUAUUAAAUUUUCAAAUCCAAGGCAGACAGUAGUGCACUUAUAUGAGAGAGAUUUAACUUAUCAAAUAUAUGCUCAAAAACCCAUCUUUUCACAUGAGUUUGAAAAUAAGAUGGAGACCAUGUAUGGGACCCCAUCAGCUAUUAGUAGCACUAAUAGCCAUCUGGCAUUGUGUUUACAUAUUCCAAAGUUUGGCCUGCACAUGCUCCUGUUUUAAAAGGCAGCUGAGAGCCGCUUUGCAAAAAGCUGCAGUUGACAAAAUAAAGGGCCAAAUACAGCAUAAGCUGCUAGCCUAAAAACAAUAAUAUUGAAUGCUAAAAAUCUGAAGUAGACACCUUUCCAGAAUGCUGUGAAGGAAUCAUCUUCUACAAUAACUUGAUUUUGCAUAAAGAAUGCAAAAAAAGGCUAAACCAUGAAAACAAACAAUAAAGUAGACUUAAUUAAUUCGAUUAAAAGAAUAAAUAAGAAAAUCAUGUCUUGAAGUUAUUACUUAUCAUGAUUUCAAAAAUUUCAUAUAGUUUUCCAAGUUCAGAGAAUUUCUGCCAAAUCCAGGUUUCACCUGGCUGUGAGACCAAAAAGUGAACGAUGGGGGGUGAAAGCCAGCCAGGUGUGAGACAACAGGCAUAAUUACAUGGAGUGAUCUCAAACAAAAAUCACAAGCCUCCUACAAGGGAGUUAUUCCAUAGCAAGAGCAGAAGUCAAUGGGUUACAAAACAAAUAGGAUCUCUAAUAGUAAUUGUGUAUUUACUAGUGGUGUUUUGGAAACUCAAGGUACAAAUCUCCCACCAUCUUAAUGCAAUUCUUGCAAUCAUAAGCUAAAAUAAUAAAACAAAAUUAUAAAAAAAAAAUACAAGCAGAUGAUUAAAUGAGGUUUUUGAGAAAGAAUUUGAAGAUGAGAAACAAUAAGAAAAUUACCUGAAUUCCUGCAAGAGUAACCGUUAAGGGAAAAAAUUUUAAAGACUCGAGUUCAAUAGAAUCUAUUGGAACACCAACCUUAGAAUCAUAACUGCCAUGUCAGAAUUUUUAGAAAAAUCCAGUAUUAUAUCUUCUGCCAUCUUCUUGGCUUUUCCAUAUGGAUUAAUUGGGACCUGUGGAGUGUCUUCAGUAAUGGGCAUCUUCUCAGGCUCCCCAUAUGUUGCACAUGUACUUGAAUAUAUCAAAGUCUUCACAUCAUGUGCAGCCAUUGACUCCAGGACUACCAAGGUAUUUGAUGUAAUGUUGUGAUAGUACUUAAGAGGAUCCAUGGUGCUUUCCCCAACAUAUGCAACAGCGGCAAAGUGCAUCACAGCAUCAAAUGCAUUUUCUGAGAAUAUUUUGUUAACAGCUUUUGCAUCCCCCAGGUCAGUAUAUAUGAACUGAAGCCUCCCAGGUUGUGGAAAUAAUUCUUGUAGAACUUUGACAGCACCAAGAUUUCCCCGUGAGAGGUUAUCCACUAUGGUUACCCUGUACCCAUCCUUUAAAAGUCGCAUUGCAGCGUGUGAACCAAUGUAGCCAGCACCACCAGUCACAAGCACAUGAGUCACCCCUUCUUCAUGCAUGGAGAACGGGCUUGGAGUAUUGAAUGUUGGGGAUUGUUUGAGCAUAAUAAUGCAUAAGGCUGUGAGAGCAGCAGCCAAAAGGAUCUUCCCUACAUAAUUACCCUUCCUUUUAGGGUCUGCAUAAUCCAGGCCUCCAAGCGGCAUUGAUCUGUUGGACCUUGGCUGAUUUCUGGUCCUGCCAAUAUGUAGCAUUUGGAGAAUCUCUACAACACUAAUACCUUCAACAGGAUUCAAAAUUACACUUCUGUAUCAAUGAUCAAUUAAGAAUUCCCCCAAAAUUUUGCAGUUUCUGCUCCAAUCAAAUCCAAAAUUUAAAAAAUCAGAAUUCCCAAGAUCCAAAACCACCCAACUGAAAAUUAUACUGGAAAACCACCCAAUAAGGACCCUUUGACAAACCCGGAAAAGAAACUGAGAAUGGCAAAGGUUGCGAGCUCUAGUCCUGCGAAUAUAUAAAGACCAGAGAAACUUGAAGCUGUCAAAAUAUAAGAUUUUCCAAAAAAAGAAACGCAUUAAUUGCCAAAACACAGAACCUGAAAAAAGCAGGACAAUUAUCGCAGUUGCAGAUAAGGAAAAGCUGAGGAAAAAAAUAAUUUCUCAAGAAUCACAAAGAUCCCCACUUCCAUUUAUAUAAACAAGGCCAUGCAAUACACCCAUCACAGGAAGGCACAUAAAUACACACACAAGACAGAACCCAUAACCCAAAACUUAAAAAAAAAA
rnacentral:misc_RNA from 1 species